GAGUUUGAUCCUGGCUCAGGACGAACGCUGGCGGCGUGCCUAAUGCAUGCAAGUCGCACGCACUCGCUUCGGCGGGUGAGUGGCGCACGGCUGAGUAACACGUGGGAACCCGCCCCCCGGUGGGGGAUAACGCGACGAAAGUCGCGCUAAUCCCGCAUACGUCCGCAGGGGGAAAGCGCUUCGGCGCGCCGGGGGAGGGGCCUGCGGCCCAUCAGGUCGUUGGUGGGGUAACGGCCUACCAAGCCGAUGACGGGUAGCUGGUCUGGGAGGAUGACCAGCCAGACUGGGACUGAGACACGGCCCAGACUCCUACGGGAGGCAGCAGCAAGGAAUUUUCGGCAAUGGGCGCAAGCCUGACCGAGCAACGCCGCGUGCGGGAUGACGGCCUUCGGGUUGUAAACCGCUUUUCGGGGGGACGAUGAUGACGGUACCCCCGGAACAAGCCCCGGCUAACUCUGUGCCAGCAGCCGCGGUAAGACAGAGGGGGCGAGCGUUGUCCGGAGUCACUGGGCGUAAAGCGCGCGCAGGCGGUCGCCAAAGUGUCGUGUGAAAGCCCCCGGCUCAACCGGGGGAGGCCAUGGCAAACUCGGCGACUGGAGCGGCGGAGAGGCCCCUCGAAUUGCCGGUGUAGCGGUGAAAUGCGUAGAGAUCGGCAGGAAGACCAAGGGGGAAGCCAGGGGGCUGACCGCUGGCUGACGCUGAGGCGCGACAGCGUGGGGAGCGAACCGGAUUAGAUACCCGGGUAGUCCACGCCGUAAACAAUGACCACUCGGCGUGCGGCGACUAUUGACGUCGCGGUGCGCCUUAGCUCACGCGCUAAGUGGUCCGCCUGGGAACUACGAGCGCAAGCUUAAAACUCAAGGAAUUGACGGGGCCCGCACAAGCAGCGGAGCGUGU
rnacentral:rRNA from 1 species